GGUUGCAUGACGCUCUGCGCAGGUUCCAGCUUUACUACCCAGCCAUACGGAAGCAGAUGAUGACACCCUGCAGGCAGCUUAACCAAUCAGAAGACACGCAUCCCGUAACACAACCUGUCGAAUAACAGCGCUGACACUGCAAGAUUAAGCAAGCCAGAAGACCGAGCUCUGGGUCACUACAUGAAUUUGGGGAAAUGAGCUACACGCACACACACAGCAGCGCUCGAGGACACACGCUGAGCCGCUGACACAGGCAAAAGCAAAGCUACCCUAGCAUGUUUGACGAACAUCAUAAUAGUAGAACAGACUGUUUCUAUUGGCUAUUCAAAACUGCAACGGGAUUGAAGACCAGCUGGAGGCCGUCACUUCCUGCCAAAAGUUGGACACAGGGAUGGAAAUUACUUAAUUGGGCCUGGGAGAAGAGACAGCUGAGGUGCUGCGGUUUCCCACAGAACAUGCAAACUCCACACAGAAAUGCCAACUGACCCACCCGAGACUCGAACAGGAGAACUUCCAUUGGGAUUAGUAUAAAAAAAUACAAUGGAAGUUGAUGGCUACUGGUUUCCAAGUUUAUUACUCCAAUAUCAUCUUCUGUGUUCAAAUGAAUAUGGAUACUCAAACAAGCAGAUGGAGGAGCUUGGGAAGUUUCACAAACACCAGCGUGACAUUGGCUAAUCAGCUCAGCAGUUAUCAGACUUCCCCAAACGCCUCUUAAAAAAGGCAUACCAUUACUGAAAGACUGGCAGAAGAAGAAGAAAUAAAAAAAUAAGCCCUGGCAUCUCUGGGAGGACAUGAUUGGACACUUUUUAUGGAUUGUGAUGCCAACCUCACCUUAUAUCCCAAAGAGAAAAGCAUUUGGCCUUGAGCGGAAAUCUUCCAUCAGGAACAUUUGCAACUCAGGACAGAUGCCAAGAAAAAAAAACAAACAGGCUCAGAUCAGACGGACGGUUCAGCGCAGAUAUGGUUUACAACAUAAGUGGGCUGGAAAUAUUAUUUUGAAAGACCAAAAAUCUCACAGAUGUCCCUGUCAGACGGGCUCGUCUUCCAGCCAAGGUGCAACUCAAGCGAUUAAUAGGUCUAUCCAAGCAUCGCCAUCAAACAAGAUUAAAGUGCCUUUUUUCCAGAUGAAAGAGCGGCGGGGAAACACAGACUGAUGGGGAUUUAAAACACAAGAGCGUUGAGUGUCGCUACACUAGAGAGCCAAAUGAAACCUUCAAUCCAGUCACACGCAAUCAGUUUCAUUGUUUCUGGGAGAUUGAGCAUCAAGCAUGAUGAAACACUGAUGACGGUGAUCUCUCAAACAAACGCGGAUCAGUUUCCGGCCAGGAAGCCCACAGAAAGAGUUAACAAAGGAUCUUCCAGCAUCUCUCCGUCUCUCUCUUUGAAGGCCACAUCAAACACAUGCUGUUUGCUGGAGCAGACUUUCCCUCACACUGGAAAAAAAACACCCACAGACACUUGCAGAAGCAGCAGGCCAGAUCUUUCAUCCCAGUGGAUUUUGAAAGCAACUUUGGAAAGUUCCAUGAUCAUUAAGUUUUUGAAAAAAUGCUUUCAUAAAAAUAAAAUAUUUAGUAUUGAAAUUAUUUACUUUGCAUGAAAAGAAUAAAAUCACACUUUAGACAAGA